UUUUUUUUUUCUUUUUUCUUUUUUCUGCUCACGCCCACCUCAGUUCAAUCCAGAGUAGAAGCCCCACUGGUUUAGUUCCUAGAGUUAAAGAAGAGAAAGGGAGGAGCCAUAGGCGCAGCGCCUGGGCUUCAGCCUGGCCAUCAGCUGCCAGCCAGUAGCGCUUUGCUCCGCUGAUGCUCGGGCGCGAGCUACAGGGUUUUAAACACGCCUCGCAGCGGCGCCCACUGGCCGCCUCCUCCCGGACCCUAACUCGUGCGGUCCUCCUGCCCACGUCCCCUCCGCCCGCCAGGACCUGCGGGAGGAGGCCGACCCUCCUCGGCACACGGGCGGGCCCAAGGCGCGCCCAGCGUCUCCACUGCACGCCCCGCUGGGGAUCCGGCGCCGCGCACUUGGGUCCUAGGCCCAGAGGGCGGGCUCGGCUCCCGGAAGAGGAGAGCGAGAGCGGCUGAAGGGGCUGGAGAGGGGCGGGCCAGGCUGGGAGAGACGAGAGGGGGCGGGCCCGGCUGCGUUCGCCCAGCUAGCGCUGGGGAGCAGCGGGCGUCCGAACCCGAGACCACAGCUCAGCGACUCCGAUCGUGACACCGGCCCCCGCACGAUUCCCCAGGGCCCCGCCUAGGGAGCAGUCCCUGCUUGCAGCCUUGGGUCCUCUCCCAGAAUCCCAGAGACUCUAAGCUGCGAGCAGACGCGGGCCCCUGGGAAGCGAGGUCCCCAGACCAGAGAGGACACGCGCGACGCUAGGAAAGAUCUGCGAGGUGCAGAUCCACCGCGGGGGCCUCGGGGGGCGCAGACCUGCAGAGCUGGAGGCCGGCGGGAAGGUUGGCUGCUGGAGGAACGGUGCAGAGUAAAUGAAGAGAGCAAACUGGAAUAACUCCUACCAGACAAGAAGGGAAGCAAGCCUGGCUGUAGACACCAGGUCUUCUGAAAGCCAUAGCAGUGCCUCAGAACAGGGCAGUGGCCGAGGCAAUGGUGGGAGUGCCGAAGAGACCGCAUGGCUACUGAGGGCACGACUGGCUCAGGGAGCAGAGUGGUGGCGGGCAUGGUGUGCAGUCUGUGGCUCCUGGUUCUAGGGUCAUCAGUUCUAGCUCUGGAAGAGGUGCUGCUGGAUACCACAGGAGAGACCUCUGAGAUUGGCUGGCUCACCUACCCGCCAGGUGGGUGGGAUGAGGUGAGUGUUCUAGAUGACCAGCGCCGUCUGACUCGGACCUUCGAAGCAUGCCACGUUGCAGGGCUCCCUCCUGGUUCUGGCCAGGACAAUUGGCUGCAGACACACUUUGUGGAACGGCGAGGGGCCCAGAGGGCACACAUCCGCCUUCACUUCUCUGUACGAGCCUGUUCCAGCCUGGGUGUGAGUGGGGGUACCUGCCGAGAGACCUUCACCCUUUACUACCGGCAGGCUGAUGAGCCAGACGGCCCCGACAGUAUUGCGGCCUGGCACCUCAAACGCUGGACCAAAGUGGACACAAUUGCCGCAGAUGAGAGCUUCCCUGCCUCCUCUUCCUCUUCCUCAUGGGCUGUGGGACCCCACAGGACCGGUCAGCGGGUGGGACUGCAGCUGAAUGUCAAAGAGCGCAGCUUUGGUCCUCUCACUCAGCGUGGCUUCUAUGUGGCCUUCCAGGACACAGGGGCCUGCCUGGCCCUUGUGGCAGUCAAGCUCUUCUCCUACACCUGUCCCUCCGUCCUGCGUGCCUUUGCCUCUUUUCCUGAGACACAGGCCAGUGGAGCUGGAGGGGCUUCCUUAGUGGCAGCUGUGGGCACCUGUGUAGCUCAUGCAGAACCAGAGGAGGAUGGAGUAGGAGGCCAGGCAGGGGGCAGCCCCCCAAGGUUACACUGUAAUGGCGAAGGCAGGUGGAUGGUAGCUGUGGGAGGCUGCCGCUGCCAGCCUGGACACCAGCCUGCUCGUGGAGACAAGCUCUGCCAAGCCUGCCCUGAGGGAUCCUAUAAGGCCCUGGCUGGGAAUGUUCCCUGUUCACCGUGUCCAGCCCGCAGCCACUCCCCUGACCCUGCAGCCCCAGUUUGCCCAUGUCUCCAAGGCUUCUACAGGGCCAGUUCGGACCCACCAGAGGCUCCCUGCACUGGUCCUCCAUCGGCUCCCCGGGAGCUAUGGUUUGAGGUGCAAGGCUCGGCACUCAUGCUGCACUGGCGUCUGCCUCAGGAGCUGGGUGGACGAGGGGAUCUGCUCUUCAAUGUUGUGUGCAAGGAGUGUGGAGGUCACGGAGAGCCCAGCAGUGGGGGGAUGUGUCGCCGCUGCAGGGACGAGGUGCAUUUCGACCCCCGCCAGAGGGGACUGACUGAGAGUCGAGUGUUAGUUGGGGGGCUCCGAGCACACGUGCCAUACAUCUUGGAAGUGCAGGCUGUCAAUGGGGUGUCUGAGCUCAGCCCUGACCCUCCCCAGGCAGCAGCCAUCAAUGUCAGCACCAGCCACGAAGGUGAGCUCUUUUCCUUCUCUUUAAGGACAGCUUGCUUCAGCUCCUCGGAUCCCCUCUUCCCCAUGCCUGAUUUCCAGCCAGCCUGCAUUAGACAUCUUAUUCUGAACUCUAUCCCCUCCACCCUUGGGUGCUGCUGCUUGCAGAGACUCCAGACCCCCCCCCCCAACAAUAAUCCUCCACCCUGCACUUUAGUCCCUUCUGCAGUCCCUGUGAUGCACCAGGUGAGCCGGGCAGCCAACAGCAUCACAGUAUCCUGGCCACAGCCUGAGCAAACAAAUGGGAACAUCCUCGACUACCAGCUGCGCUACUAUGACCAGGCAGAAGAUGAAUCCCACUCCUUCACCAUGACCAGUGAGACCAACACUGCCACUGUGACACGGUUGAGCCCUGGCCACAUCUAUGGCUUCCAGGUGCGGGCACGGACUGCAGCUGGCCACGGCCCCUAUGGGGGCAAAGUCUAUUUUCAGACAUUGCCUCAAGGUGAGCUGUCCUCCCAGCUUCCAGAGAAGCUGUCCUUGGUGAUUGGUUCCAUCCUGGGGGCCUUGGCCUUCCUUCUACUGGCAGCCAUCACUGUACUGGCUGUCAUCUUCCAGCGGUGAGGCCCCUGUCACUCCUGUCCAACCUACCCCAGUACCAUUCAAGUCCUGACAAACCCAGGAACCCCUGCAGCACUUCGCACAUCCUUCUACUAGUUCAUUGCAAAGGAAGCGCCGUGGGACCGGCUACACAGAACAACUGCAACAAUACAGCAGCCCAGGACUUGGAGUGAAGUAUUACAUUGACCCUUCUACAUACGAUGACCCCUGCCAGGCCAUCAGAGAGCUUGCUCGAGAGGUUGACCCUACAUAUAUCAAGAUUGAAGAAGUCAUUGGGGCAGGUUCCUUUGGAGAAGUGCGUCGGGGCCGACUGCAACCCCGGGGAAGGAGGGAACAAGCUGUGGCUAUCCAGGCCUUGUGGGCAGGGGGUGCUGAGAGCCUGAAGAUGACCUUUCUGGGUCGGGCAGCACUGCUGGGCCAGUUCCAGCACCCCAAUAUCCUGCGGCUGGAAGGUGUAGUCACUAAGAGUCGGCCUGUCAUGGUGCUGACAGAACUCAUGGAACUUGGUCCCCUGGACAGCUUUCUUAGGCAGCGAGAGGGCCAGUUCAGUAGCCUGCAGCUGGUGGCCAUGCAGCGGGGUGUGGCUGCUGCCAUGCAGUACUUGUCCAGCUUUGCCUUUGUUCACCGAGCACUCUCGGCCCGAAGUGUGCUAGUGAAUAGCCACCUGGUGUGUAAGGUGGCACGUCUCGGCCACAGUCCUCAGGGUUCAAGUUCCUUGCUUCGCUGGGCAGCCCCAGAGGUCAUUACACAUGGAAAGUAUACAACAUCUAGCGAUGUCUGGAGCUUUGGCAUACUCAUGUGGGAAGUGAUGAGCUAUGGAGAACGGCCCUACUGGGACAUGAACGAGCAGGAGGUACUAAAUGCAAUAGAGCAAGAGUUCCGGCUGCCCCCACCUCCAGGGUGCCCCCCUGGACUACAUCUACUGAUGCUAGACACUUGGCAGAAGGACCGUGCCCGUCGGCCUCAUUUUGACCAGCUGGUAGCUGCAUUUGACAAGAUGAUUCGCAAGCCUGAUACUCUCCAGGCUGAAGGGGGCUCCGGGGACAGGCCUUCCCAGGCUCUUCUGAACCCUGUGGCCUUGGACUUCCCUUGCCUGGACUCUCCCCAGGCCUGGCUUUCAGCCAUUGGACUAGAGUGCUACCAGGACAACUUCUCCAAGUUUGGUCUUUCCACCUUCAGUGAUGUGGCUCAGCUCAGCCUGGAAGACCUGCCAGGCCUGGGCAUCACCCUAGCUGGCCACCAGAAGAAACUUCUGCACAACAUUCAGCUCCUCCAGCAGCACCUGAGGCAGCCAGGCUCAGUGGAAGUGUAAAGCCUGCUCAGGAGUCUGUGAGCCGCCGAUGCCCCAACCCAGUCCUGGCCAUAGGGUGGAGAAGGGGCGUGUGAGACUGAGUCAGGCUCUACUCCAGCUUCCAUGCCUGUCACAUUAAACCCAGCCCUCUGGACAUUGCACCCCCAAAUCCUGCUCUUCCAACAGCCUCCCCCAUAUUAAAGGGAAAGAAGGGAAUUUACAAGUUGA